CUUGACGGAGCCGAGCAGCAGCGGCCGCUCGCGGUUCUGGCCGUAGGUGGCCAGCAGGGCCUGUGCCUC
rnacentral:antisense_RNA from 1 species